CUUAAUAAAAAUUCCAUCGCCUUCAGUAAACCUUUCAAUUUAAGUAUUUUUUUGUUUCUUGCACAAGAGGAGAUUUUUCUCUUAGUUAAGACUUGCUGAUAUAUUUGUUUCACUGUUAGAGGAGAAAAAUUUGCUGCUGACACCUUUAAUAUGGGGGGAAAAAUGGAAGGACUCUUUCCUCUCUUGUUUGUUUUCUUGAGCUUGUAAUUUUAAAAUAUCUUCUUACAGGAGCCUUUCUACAUGAACUGUCAAUGGAGGAGAAGUCAAGCAAAGGGGACUUGCUGCCUGCCACGUCUGCCUCCUGCUGUGAAAUCACAACAAUGCAACCAGGAAUAGCUGGUGAGAGGGAAGAGGAGAGUGACAGCCAUUUGCUACUUGAAGGAGGCCAGUGUGUCCCCACAUUGCCUUCCUGUGAUGGGCAAAGUCACGUGGCAAACUCAGACCUGGCUGGGGUUCCCUAUACAACCGGGCCCCUGAGUACUCAGCUUUCCAUUAAAAGUCAGAACAAAACUGAUGGUAUUUUGAUUUGUCAUUUCAGAGGCAGAAGCUCAAAUGUGCUUUAGAAACCUGUGGCCCGAUGCAGCACUUGAAAUUUUCAUGCAGCUGUGGGCUGGAGUGCUGUGGGAGAAAUAAAAGCAGGAGGAAUCCCA
rnacentral:lncRNA from 13 species